UACAGGGGGGCAAGCGUUGUUCGGAAUUACUGGGCGUAAAGGCCAGUAGGCGGCCAACUAAGUCACACGUGAAAUCCCAGGCUUAACCUGGGAACUGCGUGUGAUACUGAUGGCUUGAAUUCGGGAGAGGGAUGCAGAAUUCCAGGUGUAGCGGUGAAAUGCGUAGAUAUCUGGAGGAAUACCGGUGGCGAAGGCGGCAUCCUGGACCGACAUUGACGCUGAACGGCGAAA
rnacentral:rRNA from 1 species